UAGAGCACAAUUUUUCAGUUAUACAUGAACAUACAUAUAUUCAUUGUCACAUUUUUUUUCACUGUGAGCAACCACAAGAUCUUGUAUAUAUUUCCCUGUGCUAUACAGUAUAAUCUUGUUUAUAGAUUCUAUGUUUUGAAAUCUCAGCCUGUUCCUUCCCACUCCCGCCCCUUCGGCAACCACAAAUUUGUAUUCUAUGUCUUAUGAGUCUGUUUCUGUUUUGUAUUUAUAUUUUGUUUUUUGUUUUAGAUUCCACAUAUGAAC